GCUUGAGCACGUAGGUGGGUUUGUAAGUCAGGUGUGAAAGCCUUCUGUUCAACGGGAGAAUUGCAUCUGAAACUACGAAUCUUGAGUGUAGGAGGGGAGAAUGGAACUUCUGGUGGAGCGGUGAAAUGCGUAGAUAUCAGAAGGAACGCCGGCGGCGAAAGCGAUUCUCUGGCCUAUUACUGACACUCAGUGUGCGAAAGCUAGGGGAGCAAACGGGAUUAGAUACCCCGGUAGUCCUAGCCGUAAACGAUGGGCACUAAGUAGAGGGGAUUACCGACGUUCUCUCUGCCGUAGCUAACGCAUUAAGUGCCCCGCCUGGGGAGUACGGCCGCAAGGCUAAAACUCAAAAGAAUUGACGGGGGCUCGCACAAGCGGUGGAGCAUGUGGCUUAAUUCGAUGCAACGCGAAGAACCUUACCGGGGCUUGACAUGGUAGAAGUAGGAACCCGAAAGGGUAACGAACGGUAUCCAGUCCGUGACUAUCACAGGUGUUGCAUGGCUGUCGUCAGCUCGUGUCGUGAGACGUUGGGUUAAGUCCCCUAACGAGCGAAACCCUUGUUUUUAGUUACCAGCGGGUUAUGCCGGGUACUCUAGAAAGACUGCCGUCGUCAAGACGGAGGAAGGUGGGGAUGACGUCAAGUCAUCAUGGCCCUUAUGCCCCGGGCUGCACACGUGCUACAAUGGUCGGUACAAACGGAAGCGAAGCCGAGAGGUGAAGCGAAUCCAAGC
rnacentral:rRNA from 1 species